CUCGCUGCUGCCCCCAGAGGCUGAGAGUAGGAACAGCCAAUCUCAGUGGUAGAGGAUGCAGAACUGGGUGAACUCCCCAGCUCUGAUCCUUCCUGUCGAGAAAGUCAUCUUCCCCUAUGAAUCUCAUGUUCCUCGGUCAAGAAAUGAGUGCAGUAACACCCCUGCCUGGUUGCUGACGAGCUAUCUUUCAGCAAUUGAAGACUGAUUUCAUGUUGCCCCAGGAAUCCAAUACUGCUGAGGAGGCCCAGGAGAUGACUGAGGAUACUAAGAACUUGUUGGAAGAAUUCAUUUCUGGAAUUUUAAAAGUAGCGAACAGGCUUAUAGGGGUGAAUGUCAGUAACCUUCAUAUCCUGGAUAUCACAUUAGAAGUGACUUCUGAAAACACCACCGAAGUGAUCAUCCCCAUCAUUGCUGAAGUCAAUGUGAAACCGUACAUUGGACUGCUCAACAGGGUUGUGGACUUGCAAUCAGUCUCGUGAAUGAGGUGUUGUCCCAGGUAGCACACUAUGAGAGGAAGUUUAUAAACCCCAACACGAAAAUGAAUAGAACAGAGGAAAACUGCUGAAAAGUCUGCCUGCUGGUUGAUUCCCAGGGACUUGACUGAAUCUCUGUACCGUCUCCCUCUGGGACUGUCGGUGCUGCCACCAUCCCCCAGGAGUGACAACUGAGCCCAGUCAAGGACACUCUCAGAUACGCCUCCUCGCAGUCAGGACACCCUAUGCUCCUCGCCCUCCACCCCCAGCAAUAAAAAGCCAU
ensembl:lncRNA